UAUGAAGUUGGAAUCGCUAGUAAUCGCGGAUCAGCAUGCCGCGGUGAAUACGUUCCCGGGCCUUGUACACACCGCCCGUCACACCAUGAGAGUCGGGAACACCCGAAGUCCGUAGCCUAACCGCAAGGAGGGCGCGGCCGAAGGUGGGUUCGAUAAUUGGGGUGAAGUCGUAACAAGGUAUC
rnacentral:rRNA from 1 species